rnacentral:rRNA from 1 species
UGAGUAACGCGUGGAUAAUCUACCCUUAAGAUCGGGAUAACAGUUGGAAACGACUGCUAAUACCGUAUGUCCUGCAUAUUUAACUUUAUGUGGAAAAGGUGGCCUCUAUUUAUAAGCUACCGCUUUUGGAUGAGUCCGCGUCUCAUUAGCUUGUUGGUGGGGUAAUGGCCUACCAAGGCAACGAUGAGUAGCUGGUCUGAGAGGAUGAUCAGCCACACUGGGACUGAAACACGGCCCAGACUCCUACGGGAGGCAGCAGUGGGGAAUAUUGCGCAAUGGGGGAAACCCUGACGCAGCGACGCCGCGUGUAGGAAGAAGGCCUUCGGGUCAUAAACUACUGUCAAGAGGGAAGAAACUGUUAAGGUUUAAUACGCCUUUUCACUGACGGUACCUCUAGAGGAAGCACCGGCUAACUCCGUGCCAGCAGCCGCGGUAAUACGGAGGGUGCGAGCGUUAAUCGGAAUCACUGGGCGUAAAGCGUGCGUAGGCGGCGUGGAAAGUCAGACGUGAAAGCCCUCGGCUCAACCGAGGAAUUGCGUUUGAAACUGCCAUGCUAGAGUCUCGGAGAGGUUGGCGGAAUUCCA